rnacentral:rRNA from 1 species
AUUGAACGCUGGCGGCAUGCUUUACACAUGCAAGUCGAACGGCAGCGAGGAGAAGCUUGCUUCUCUGUCGGCGAGUGGCGAACGGGUGAGUAUAGCAUCGGAACGUGCCAAGUAGUGGGGGAUAACCAAACGAAAGUUUGGCUAAUACCGCGUAAGCUCUAAGGAGGAAAGUAGGGGACCUAAAUAAGGCCUUACGCUAUUUGAUCGGCCGAUGUCGGAUUAGCUAGUUGGUGGGGUAAUGGCUCACCAAGGCAAUGUUCCGUAGCGGGUCUGAGAGGACGAUCCGCCACACUGGGACUGAGACACGGCCCAGACUCCUACGGGAGGCAGCAGUGGGGAAUUUUGGACAAUGGGGGAAACCCUGAUCCAGCCAUGCCGCGUGUAUGAAGAAGGCCUUAGGGUUGUAAAGUACUUUUGUUAGGGAAGAAAAGCUAGUUUUUAAUAAAAAUUAGUGAUGACGGUACCUAAAGAAUAAGCACCGGCUAACUACGUG